rnacentral:tRNA from 1 species
GGGGGCGUAGCUCAGUUGGGAGAGCACCUGCUUUGCACGCAGGGGGUCAGCGGUUCGAGUCCGCUCGUCUCCA